UCUUUCUUUGCUGGCGACCGGCGCACGGGUGAGUAACACGUAUCCAACCUGCCUUUACUCGGGGAUAGCCUUUCGAAAGAAAGAUUAAUACCCGAUAGCAUAAUGAUUCCGCAUGGUUUCAUUAUUAAAGGAUUCCGGUAAAGGAUGGGGAUGCGUUCCAUUAGGUUGUUGGUGAGGUAACGGCCCACCAAGCCUUCGAUGGAUAGGGGUUCUGAGAGGGAGGUCCCCCACAUUGGAACUGAGACACGGUCCAA
rnacentral:rRNA from 1 species